GACGUAGGAUGCAAGCGUUGUCCGGAAUUAUUGGGCGUAAAGAGUUCGUAGGCGGUUUUCUAAGUCUGGUGUUAAAGCCCGAAGCUCAACUUCGGCAUGGCAUUGGAAACUGGGUAGCUAGAGUGUGGUAGAGGUAUCGGGAAUUCCUGGUGUAGCGGUGAAAUGCGUAGAUAUCAGGAGGAACACCGGCGGCGAAAGCGCGAUACUGGGCCAUAACUGACGCUGAGGAACGAAAGCCAGGGGAGCGAAAGGG
rnacentral:rRNA from 1 species